GAUGAACGCUGGCGGCGUGCCUAAUACAUGCAAGUCGAGCGAACGGACGAGAAGCUUGCUUCUCUGAUGUUAGCGGCGGACGGGUGAGUAACACGUGGAUAACCUACCUAUAAGACUGGGAUAACUUCGGGAAACCGGAGCUAAUACCGGAUGAUAUUUUGAACCGCAUGGUUCAAAAGUGAAAGACGGUCUUGCUGUCACUUAUAGAUGGAUCCGCGCUGCAUUAGCUAGUUGGUAAGGUAACGGCUUACCAAGGCAACGAUGCAUAGCCGACCUGAGAGGGUGAUCGGCCACACUGGAACUGAGACACGGUCCAGACUCCUACGGGAGGCAGCAGUAGGGAAUCUUCCGCAAUUGGCGAAAGUCUGACGGAGCAACGCCGCGUGAGGGAUGAAGGUCUUCGGAGCGUAAAACUCUGUUAUUAGGGAAGAACAUAUGUGUAAGUAACUGUGCACAUCUUGACGGUACCUAAUCAGAAAGCCACGGCUAACUACGUG
rnacentral:rRNA from 1 species